GGGGCGUGUCUCCAACAAAGUACGGGUUAAAUUAAGAUUAAAACACCAUUAUCGGCGGCCCUCUACUUCUGUCCCGCUCACUCGAGAAAUUUGUAAAUUAAGAACACACAAUAAAGAGCUAGGGAGAGAUGAAAUCGUGAGUACCUACAAACUUUCUCAGUUCCAAUGUCCGAAUCAAAUGCAUUUCUCCUCCUCUCCCAUUCCCUCCCAUGCUCUGUAACCAAGCCACGACCACUCUUUCACCAUCGCCCACUCUCGAGGACAAUCAGAGCUUCUUCAGGAUUACAGGGUGGGUACAGAGGGCCAAUACCAAACAAGGAUUCAAUUGCGGAGUGGGUUUACAGAAGUGAUGAUACUGUUCGGAGCGCUCCGAUAUAUGUUGGUGGCAUUUCUUUGUUGGCUGUGCUCCUCAAUCGUGCUUUCUCCGGUGUUUCUCCGGUCGCUGAUGCCAGCAGUUCGCAAUCAAGGACAGACAUAUUGACCCUUGCUUUAGCCGUAACGAACAUUUUAGCUGGCCUGGUUUGGCUUUCUGUUAAGCCCAAAGUCACAGCUUCGGUAAGUCUUGAUGGUGUAGAAUGUAGAAGGGUUACAACAGAUUUCCCAGCUGAUGCAGUUGCAGAAUUGCUAUGGGUUUGGGAUUCUCUAGAAGAUGUGACAUGUUGCAAGUCAUUAGUAAUUGUUUAUGAAAACAAAUGUCUUCUUCAAAUUGGUGUUGCAGCAAAAUCUUCUGCAAGUGAUGCUAAUGCAGUAUUUGUGGAUCCUUCAAGAUUAAUUAGUGGUUCACUUUAUCAGGGUGUUAAGAAAUCUGGAAAACAAUCCUACUUGGCAAACCUUUCUCUUUAUCCUGGGAGGUAUGAUCUACCAUUUUUCCCGCCAAAUACCCAGUCAGUCAUAUUGCAGCCGCUUGGAAAAGAUGGAAUGAUGAUUGUAGGGGGAGACAAAAUUAGGGGUUUUACUGUUGACAAUCAGUAGUAAGCAGUCUCUCAGACCUGGUCACUACGACCCCCUUUUUAAGGAGGCACCCUUUCUCCCGAAGUUACAGGCUGAUGGUGAUUCCACAAAUGAGUAGACCAUGGAUCCAAGACUAGAGCGUGUGUUUGACGGUAAGGAUCUUAUAUGGCUUGAUGUCGAGCUAGCAACAAGGGCUAAUGAAGAAGAUCGACUUAGCACUAGAGCAUAGAGGAGUAGAGGAGCAGCAAGAGCUCGACAUUUUAAAACGCUCGACAUUUUAAAACGCUGAAUCCCGCAUUUUAAAACGCUGGCAGAAAUUGUGUCACUAUUUAGAAGUCAUGUUAAAGUUCAUCCAUACAAUUUUCUAAGCAUGUUGCUAAUUAGAUUCAGCACAUGCUUUUUGCCUUGUAAUUUAUGUAACAAAGGUGUUGCUUUCAUUGUUGGCACUCACCCUAUUUAUUGAUAACUUGCUCUAUACAGGCCUGUUUGGAUGCACCCACAAUUACUAAUAAUUCGUGGUUUGGAUUAAAAUAUUCAUUUUAAGACUUUAAUUGUUGUUUGGUAGUAUCUCUUAUUAACCGGUGGUGCAC